rnacentral:lncRNA from 1 species
GCGAUGAGGAACAGCUGAUCACCUGUGGAAGUCAUUUGUCCUAAAUUGUCAUGGACAGACCAUGUGCCUUACAGCAAGAAAAUUCUGUGAAUAAACAGGAAGCCAGCCAGCCAGGGAAGAUGCUUUUGUGAUAUAUCCCAGCAUGCUGAUGACCCCAAGGAGGACCACUGGAUACCUAGCAAGGAAAAAGAAGAACUGAUUGAAGAGUGGCAACCAGAACCUCUUGUUCCUCCUGUCCCAAAAGACCAUCCUGCUCUCAACUACAACAUCGUUUCAGGGCAAUAUGAUAAAAUUGAAAAAUUUCACAAAUGUCAGGAGAACAAGAUCUGGUGUCUGGGUUUCAACUCUUAGAGCUUCCCAGCUCGUAGCUAUGCUCCUGAAUUCCUCUGGCAGCCCUCCUCAAGGACCUCUGUGAGACAAAGUCAGAAAUGACUUCACUGGAGACCAAGAGAGCCCACAGAGCUCUUCCUGCUGCUUCUUCUACCCUUGUACUCACUCGGCUCUCUAAAUUUGUCUCAGCUCCAGGGACACAAAAUGGGGGAAACAUGUUGUUUCUGCUUCUGCAAGGAACCAGACUGCCAUCUCUAAUGCAUGCAUCACAGGUACCCAGUAGGGGCAGUCAAACAGCAAAAGCUACACAAUGAUGGGCCACGGGAGCAAGG